AGGGCGGAAGGUAAAAAUAUAGAGUUCAGUAUGUCAUCUAUCAAUGACUUGAUAAUGCCCAAAGAUAAUACAUGAAACUGCAAUUAGGUAUGGCUGGUCUUACAGUUGCUUGGUAACCAUGGCCGGCUUCUGAAGCGAGCUCCUGGGAAGAUUCCAGUUCCAUUCCACAGCGGUCCAACAGGUCCCUAGUAUACAACCGUGCUUCCAUUCUUGACAGAGACUUGAGCCAUCUUCUGUUUGUAAGAGUCCAACAGUUUGAGCAAAUCUUUCCACCAAGAUGUUGUCCCUGUACUUCAAUUUAUUCUGCAAUCUAUGCUGACCUUGAAUGUCUAAGAGAGUAGCUUUAUAAAGUUUGUAUAGCUUUAUAAAGUUUGUACUGUCUACCUCUUUUCAGUAUUCAGCUCCAAUCUCUUUUUGGAUAUUUUUUAUUUUGUUCAUCUUCUAUGUUUAAUCAUUAAAUAUACAAAUCCAUGUAUGAAGGUGAAAGCAAUGUCUAGAGAUUUUUUUUCUAUUUUAUUGCUUGCUUGUUUA